UACAAUAUUCAACGCAACCUUGUACACAAGUUUUACUGUCAAUUUUCGUGUAAAAUUAUCGACGAAUUCAUUUAGCCGACUUUGACAGAUCUCAUAAAAUCCCAGUGCCAUCAGUUUCCUUCUGUCAGGUGCAUCGCGAUCGUAUUUCGAGUUGCCCGAAAUGGUGAGUGAGAGCGGUGAGAGCUAAACACCCGCAGGAGUGAGCCUCAUACCCGGUUCUAAUCUGUCGGACAAAACACGACUGGUCUUCGGAGCGUCGAUCUGAACCGGCGGACUCGGUACGUGACAUCUAAACAGCCGCAGACAGCGCUGACGGUCGUUGCCGGUGGAAAUGCCCAGAUUGUCAACUCGCGGAAGCCAUUCAUCGACUCUUCCAAAGGAGUGAAUUCUCCCAACCUCCAGGCCGUGCAUCAGUCCCGGUUCAAAUCUUCCGGACACAACACGAACGGGCUUUGGAGCGUCCUCCUGAAACCGGCGAACUCGGUACGUGACAGCUAAACACCUGCAGACGGACGCCAAAGAAGUAAAUUCCCCCAACCUCCAGGUCGCGCAUCAUACCCGGUUCAAAUCUGCUGGACAAAACUUGACCGGGAAGAUGAGCUCCCGGUGGGCUUCCGACUAAGCUGCAACGUCGUCGGGAUGUGGACUUCCCCCGGAAGCUGCACGCUCAUCUCCCCGAAGCAGUCCAUCGGCGCCGCAUGGUGUCGAACGAAGAUGAGUUCCCAGUGGGCUUCCGGCCAAGCUGCAACGUCGUCGGGAUGUGGAAAUCCCCCGGAAGCCGCACGCUCAUCUCCCCGAAGCAGUUCAUCGGCGCCGCAUGGUGUCGAAUGAAGAAUUGCACCACUAUCGAAACAAGUUGGCCAUGUUGACUUCAAGGCGCGAAAUAGUCGGAAGCUGGACAUCUUCCCAAAGCAGUCCAUCGGCGCCGCAUGGUGUCGAAUGAAGGUUAGCUCGCGGUGGGCUUCCGGCCAAGCUGGAACGUCGUCGAGAUGAGGACUUUGCGCCUCCCCGUCGGAGACUGCCGAUCAAAAUCGGUAUCCAGGACGAGUGAAAAAGUGAAAAAACUUUUUAACGACCUCUUAAGAAGAAAAAUGCUCAUUCAGUUGGAUUAAUGUCGGUGGGAAUAGAUUUCUUCGAAAUGCAUGUAUUGUUGUGUUAAUAAAAUUGUUUUUUUUAGCAUUUUA